GCCAGCAUGGUAUAGUGGUUUGAGCACUGGACUAUAAAUCUGGAGAUCAGGGUUUGAUUCCCUGUUUGGGCA